AUUGAACGCUGGCGGCAUGCCUUACACAUGCAAGUCGAACGGUAACGGGUCCUUCGGGAUGCCGACGAGUGGCGAACGGGUGAGUAAUAUAUCGGAACGUGCCCAGUAGUGGGGGAUAACUGCUCGAAAGAGCAGCUAAUACCGCAUACGACCUGAGGGUGAAAGGGGGGGAUCGCAAGACCUCUCGCUAUUGGAGCGGCCGAUAUCAGAUUAGCUAGUUGGUGGGGUAAAGGCCUACCAAGGCAACGAACUGUAAUUGGUCUGAGAGGACGACCAGCCACACUGGGACUGAGACACGGCCCAGACUCCUACGGGAGGCAGCAGUGGCGAAUUUUGGACAAUGGGCGCAAGCCUGAUCCAGCAAUGCCGCGUGCAGGAAGAAGGCCUUCGGGUUGUAAACUGCUUUUGUCAGGGAAGAAAUCUUCUGGGCUAAUACCCCGGGAGGAUGACGGUACCUGAAGAAUAAGCACCGGCUAACUACGUGCCAGCCGCCGCAGUAA
rnacentral:rRNA from 1 species